CCCCUUGUUGCAAACCUCACGC
rnacentral:ncRNA from 12 species